GACGGGGGGGGCAAGUGUUCUUCGGAAUGACUGGGCGUAAAGGGCGCGUAGGCGGUCAGCACAAGUCAGUUGUGAAAUCUCCGGGCUUAACUCGGAAAGGUCAACUGAUACUGUGCGACUAGAGUGCGGAAGGGGCAACUGGAAUUCUCGGUGUAGCGGUGAAAUGCGUAGAUAUCGAGAGGAACACCUGCGGCGAAGGCGGGUUGCUGGGCCGACACUGACGCUGAUGCGCGAAAGCCAGGGGAGCGAACGGG
rnacentral:rRNA from 1 species